rnacentral:lncRNA from 1 species
UUGGCUGCAAUUCAGUGGCUGUGAUUGGCUGAAACUCAGCUGCUGUGAUUGGCUGAGACUUAGCAACCUGUUACAAGAGAAAAUGACAACCUGUUUAUACCCAUACUGUUCACUGUAUAUGAAGAAAGCAUUAGACUGAAGUUAACCUACUUAAGGAGAUAACUUUAGGCUAAACUUAAGUACCUUGGGCUGUAAUUCACAUAUGGACAGAGAGCUCACCAAAUAAUUACCUUUGAUACAUCUCAUAUGCUUGGAAAGCAACAGCAUCCCUCCGUGUGUACCAGAGCUUCUUCUGCAUCCUGAAUGGUGCUGUCCAUUCCCUACAAGGACAGGCCUGGAGAGGGGCUGUGCCAGAGACCCUCUCUGUACAAAACAAAUUCCCAGGUACCAUCCACCCGUCAGAAAAAGUAUAGCAGAAAAUCUGAAGAAAAGCACAUGUUUUUGGAGUCUGGUAAUUUUCCUGCAGAAUGAACCAAGAAAGACCAGGUCCUCGACUGAACGGUUCUGCAUGAGAUCAUGUACCUUCCAGGCCAAGAUGAUGGAAAAGUCAGUGGUGAGAACCUCAAACCAAAGUGGCAGCCACAUUUUCUGCAGCAAGCCUUCCCUGAGUAACUUGACACAGGCAGCAUAG